rnacentral:rRNA from 1 species
GAUUUCUGGUUAGAUUCGCCUGGCCCGCCACGGUGACGUGUGUGAGUGCUGGGUCGAAUCUGCCAUCCUUCGUUUAUGACUGGUUGCUCUUUAUUGAGUGCCAGCUCGUGAACGAUCGUUUACUUUGAAAAAAUUAGAGUGUUUCAAGCAGGCUUUAGCUUUGAAUACAUGAGCAUGGAAUAAUAAAGUAGGACUUCGGUUCUAGUUUGUUGGUUUGGAGAGCUGAAGUAAUGAUGGAUAGGGACAGUUGGGGGUGCUAGUAUUCAGCGGCCAGAGGUGAAAUUCUUGGAUUCGCUGAAGACUCACUACGGCGAAAGCAUU